UACGUAGGGUGCAAGCGUUAAUCGGAAUUACUGGGCGUAAAGCGUACGCAGGCGGCUAUGUAAGACAGGUGUGAAAUCCCCGGGCCUAACCUGGGAACUGCAUUUGUGACUGCAUAGCUAGAGUCCGUCAGAGGGGGGUGGAAUUCCACGUGUAGCAGUGAAAUGCGUAGAGAUGUGGAGGAACACCGAUGGCGAAGGCAGCCCCCUGGGCCAACACUGACGCUCAUGCACGAAAGCGUGGGGAGCAAACAGG
rnacentral:rRNA from 1 species